rnacentral:rRNA from 1 species
GACGAACGCUGGCGGCGUGCUUAGCACAUGCAAGUCGAACGGAAAGGCCCUGCUUUUGUGGGGUGCUCGAGUGGCGAACGGGUGAGUAACACGUGAGUAACCUGCCCUUGACUUUGGGAUAACUUCAGGAAACUGGGGCUAAUACCGGAUAGGAGCUCCUGCUGCAUGGUGGGGGUUGGAAAGUUUCGGCGGUUGGGGAUGGACUCGCGGCUUAUCAGCUUGUUGGUGGGGUAGUGGCUUACCAAGGCUUUGACGGGUAGCCGGCCUGAGAGGGUGACCGGCCACAUUGGGACUGAGAUACGGCCCAGACCCCUACGGGAGGCAGCAGUGGGGAAUAUUGCACAAUGGGCGGAAGCCUGAUGCAGCAACGCCGCGUGCGGGAUGACGGCCUUCGGGUUGUAAACCGCUUUCGCCUGUGACGAAGCGUGAGUGACGGUAAUGGGUAAAGAAGCACCGGCUAACUACGUG